CUUGCCGAGAGGCGCUGCAACGGGUCCAGCGGAUCCGCCACGCUCGGCAAAGGAGAAGUGACGCAAGGGCGCCUCCUGAGA
rnacentral:ncRNA from 1 species